rnacentral:rRNA from 1 species
UACGAAGGGGGCUAGCGUUGCUCGGAAUCACUGGGCGUAAAGGGUGCGUAGGCGGGUCUUAAGUCAGGGGUGAAGUCCUGGAGCUCAACUCCAGAACUGCCUUUGAUACUGAAGAUCUUGAGUUCGGGAGAGGUGAGUGGAACUGCGAGUGUAGAGGUGAAAUUCGUAGAUAUUCGCAAGAACACCAGUGGCGAAGGCGGCUCACUGGCCCGAUACUGACGCUGAGGCACGAAAGCGUGGGGAGCAACAGGG